UUAAAUUCAGAUAAUUUUGGGGAAAAACAUUUAAUUUUGUACUGGAAUUUGAACAGUAGCUCGCUGCUGUGGAUUAGAGUAUGAUGAAUAUCUCUCCUUUCCGUCGAUACUCCUUAGUACUGCAAUAUACAAAGUCGACUGGAAGAAAGCGCCUCGACCUCAGCAUACAUGAAGUCAUAGCAAGAAGCAGUGAAAGCCACAGCAGAGAUUGGAUGGAGCAUAAUUUUUUCUAUGUCUCGACGCCUCUAUGGAUGUCAUACUAGAUCAGAUGCAAUCUGAGCCUUGUUCUGAAUUUCAAAAUCCCCUUUGACACCACCUGCACAGCUGAGGUAAUGUAAACUUAAAAAUUGAGGACAACCAUCACCAAGAAAAGAUUAUCAAUUCAACUAACCAAUCAAGGACCUUCUGACUAAGGGCUGAUUUAUAGUGAACACUGCCAUUCAGAGACUUUGAAACAGUUAUUUCUUCUGAUCUUGAUUAUCUGAAUUUUUUAGCUCACCUGAGUCGAAGGCUCAAGUGAUCUUUUCUGAUCAAAGUUUGUCUUUUGUCUGUCAUUGUCAUUCUUCAAGAGGAGAGAAUUACAAAAGUAAUAGCAUUACUGAUAU